rnacentral:tRNA from 1 species
GAAGGUACAGCUCAGUGGUAAAGCAUGUGCUGAGCAUGCAAGAGGUCCUGGGUUCAAUCCCCAGUAUCUCCA